GAUGAACGCUGGCGGCGUGCCUAAUACAUGCAAGUCGAGCGAACAGACGAGGAGCUUGCUCCUUCUACGUAAGCGGCGAGUGGGUGAUUAGCAAGUAGGUAACCUCCCUAUAAUACUUGGAUAACUUCGGGAAACCGGAGCGAAUACCGGAGAAUAUUUCGAACCUCGUGGUUCGAUAGUGAAAGGUGGCUUUGCUAUCACGUAUACAUUGACCUGCGCCGUAGUGGCUGGUUGGUAAAGUAACGGCUUACCAAGGCAGCGAUACGUAGCCGACCUGAGAGGGGGAUCGGCCACACUGGAGCUGAGACACGGGACAGGCUCUGAGGGGAGGCAGAAGUAGGGACGCUACGGAGAUGGGGGAAAGCCUGACGGAGGAACGCAGCGUGAGUGAAGAAGCGCUGCGGAUCGUAAAACGCUGUUAUGAGGGAAGACCAAACGUGUAAGUAACGGAGCGCGUGUUGAGGGUACCUAAUAAGAAAGCCCCGGCUAACUCCGG
rnacentral:rRNA from 1 species